rnacentral:SRP_RNA from 1 species
GCCGGGCGAGGUGGCGGGCGCCUGUAGUCCCAGCUACUCGGGAGGCUGAGGCAGGAGAAUGGCGUAAACCCGGGAGGCGGAGCUUGCAGUGAGCUGAGAUCCGGCCACUAUGCUCCAGCAUGGGGGACAGAGCGAGACUCCAUCUCAAAAAAAAAAAAAAAAGAUGCAUUCUUUUGUUUUUUUUGUUUUUGUUUUUUUUUUUUUUUGAGACGGAGUCUCGCUCUGUCGCCCAGGCUGGAGUGCAGUGGCGUGAUCUCGGCUCACUGCAAGCUCCGCCUCCCGGGUUUACGCCAUUCUCCUGCCUCAG